rnacentral:rRNA from 1 species
CCCUUAGAUGUUCUGGGCGGCCCGCGCACUACAAUGGCGCUUUCAGCGAGUUCCUAUGUUGAAUUUUCCUGGGUAUUCUUGGAAGCGGCGUCUUGACUUGGGAUAGAUCCUUGUAAUUGUUGGUUUUGAACGAGGAAUUCCUUGUAAUCGCGGUUGAUCAGCUCGCGUUGAAUACGUCCCUGCCCUUUGUACACACCGCCCGUCGCUCCUACCGAUGAAUCGUCCGGUGAAGUUCGCAGAGUGGCGGUUCGUGGAGUUGCUCGCGAAGUGAAAUGGACCUCACGAUUUAGAGGAAGGAGAAGUCGUAACA